AUGGAGAUUGUGGCGACGGCUUUUGUCGGUCGGGUCGCACUGAAGCUGUUCGCGUUUCUAGAUGGAAAUUACAAGCUACGACGGAACCUGGAGCAUGAUAUCCAGCGCAUCCGGAUGGAGUUGGACAUGAUCGACGCCGCCAUCCACGACCACGACGGCCGUCGCUCGAGCAGCCAGGUGCAGACCGCCUGGAUACAGCUCGCGCGCGAGCUGGGCCACAGCAUCGACGACUGCAUCGACCGCUUUUCCCACCGCCUGGCCAAGGACGCCGCCGCGUCGCCGCUCCGCAAGACCGUCAGCAGGCUGAAGACGGCGCCGAUCCGCACGGAGUUCGCCGCCGAGAUCCGGAAGAUCAGGAAGAUAUCGGAAGAGGUGUCCAAGCUGAGAGAGUGCUACGGCGGCGGCGAGUCCAGCACCUCGGAGGCAUCCGCACCGGGCGCCCUCUCCGAGGAGGCGCACGCACUUGCGGCCGACCUCGUGGGUAUGGACGCGCCCCGCGACGAGCUUCUGGAUCUGAUAAGGGACACCGACGGCCACCCUAAACAGCUCAAGGUGAUCUCCAUUGUCGGCUUCGGAGGCUCGGGGAAGACUCUUCUCGCCAGGGAGGUGUACGAGAGCGACACCGUGGUAUGCCAGUACAAAGCACGGGCUUGGGUUCGUGCGGCGGACAAAGGCGCGGUGGAUGUUCUCAAGGAGAUCCUCGAGGAGCUUGGGAUGCAGGUAACCGGGGAUGCCAGGAAGCUCAGCACACAUCUCAGAAAAUGCCUCGGGUCAAAGAGGUUCUUCAUUGUUAUUGAUGACAUGAGAACAGAACUUUGGAACACCAUGAAAAAUUCUUUCCCUGCAGUGAUGGGAGUGAGCAGCAGAGUGGUGGUGACCACGCCCAUUCAGUACAUAGCAAAUGCCUGCAGCUCUGCUCACGGUCAUGUGUACGCAAUGAGAACUCUUAGCGAGGAUCUGUCAAGACAGUUGUUCCUCAAAGAAGCUUCCUUGGAGGAUUCAUCGCCUAGUAAUGAGCUCGGUUCAGAAGCACUAAAGAAAUGCGAUGGUCUGCCACUCGCUCUCGUUACCACAGCCCAGUUCUUGCAGAGCAGAGGUGAUCCGACAUGGGCAGAGUGGGCAAGGCUGUGCAACAACCUGGGUGAACAUCUUGAAACAGAGGACACCUUAGCGAGAAUGAAGAGCGUGGUUCGCCACAGCUACGCCAGUCUUCCUGACCAUUUUAUCAAGACAUUCCUGCUAUAUCUGGGUAUUUUCCCGCGUGAUCGCCCGGUGAGGAGAGAAAGGCUCAUAAGGCGAUGGCUAGCUGAAGGUUUAUUUGGAGGAGAUGCUGAACUCGCCACGUGCUAUUUCAAGAAGCUGGUCGACCACAGUAUCAUUCGGCCUAUUGAUGUGAGCAACAAUACAAAGGUGAAGACGUGCCAAACUCAUGGCAUGAUGCUUGAGUUCAUCCUGCACAAGUCCAGAUGUGAGAACUUCGUUACCUUGUCACAUGAUCAGGCACGCCCACCCGGCAAGACCCGUUGGCUUUCACUGCAUCAUGAAAGUGCCGGACGGGCCAGGAUGAGUCGAGAGGAUUUACCUUUUGUCCGGUCUUUAACAAUCUUUGGUAAGGCACACAAAUCUGUUUUGGAUUUCUCCAAGUAUGAACUGCUGCGAGUUUUGGAUCUGGAAGAAUGUCAGGAUGAAUUGAGCGACAAGCAUCUCAAAGAGAUAUGCAACCUGUUACUGCUUAGGUACCUAGGCCUUGGUGGCCCCAUUGCAGUGCUUCCCAAGGAAAUUGCAAAACUAAAACUUUUGGAGACACUUGAUAUAACAAGAACCAAGAUAGAGAUUCUGCCUGUAGAAGUCAUUGAGCUGCCUUGUUUGAUUCAUCUCUUUGGAAAGUUCAAGCUUGAAGAUGUAAGUCAGAGAGUAAGUAAGCUGCAGAGAUUCCUUUCAGAGAAAAGUAACUUGCAGACGCUAUCAGGAUUCGUUGCUGACAAAGGAAUCGCACAGCUCAUGGAUCAUAUGAAUAACUUGACAAGGGUGAAAAUAUGGUGUGAGUCCACUACGGAAGCCAGCAGCAUAACUCAUCUUUCAAAGUCCAUUAAGGGGUUCAUCCAGAGAGGUAGCCAUGCAAGUGACCAUCGUUCACUCUCACUGAAUUUCAACGAAUGUUCAGAAGACUUGCUGAGUUUUACCCUGGAAAAAUCCUGCCAUCUCAGUAAACUGAAGCUACAAGGCAACAUAUUCAGUCUACCUCCAUUUGUUACCGCAUUGGCUGGUCUCACUGAGCUAUGCCUUUCAUCCCUUGGUAAGUUCACCGGGGAUGUACUUGCUUCCCUGAGCAUGGUGCACUCCUUGCAGUACCUGAAGCUGAUAGCGACUCACAUGGAGAAGUUUGUCAUAAGAAAGGGGCAGCUCAAUAUCCUGCUACGCAUGUGCAUUGUAGUGCAAUCCAUGGAAGGUCUAGAAAUCGAAGAGGAGGCUCUUCCGUGCUUCGAGUCCCUCCAACUUCUCUGUAAGGGUGUAAACGGUUUCGGUGGCAUAAGGAUGGAGCUCCUCGGACGUCUCAAGGAGGUGGCUCUUGAUGAUGGAUUGAGUGACAAAGCAAAACAGGAGUGGAAAGAAGCGGCAAAGAUGCAUCCCAGACGACCCAAGGUUCUGUUUAUCAAAACAAGUAAGCAACAUCUCAGUCAGAUGUCGAUCAUUUGA
rnacentral:rRNA from 1 species